rnacentral:misc_RNA from 1 species
GUGAAUCAUCGAAUUUUUGAACGCAUAUUGCACUCUCUGGUAUUCCGGAGAGUAUGCCUGUUUGAGGGUAAUUAAAAAGAAUCUUUACCAAUUUUUUUUGGUCAAAGGAAAUGAGUUCUCCGCGGUUAUAACCGUUGCUUGAAAUAAAUUGUCAAGUCUCAUUUUAGUCGAAACGCGUAAUAAUAUUAUUUUGCUAAAUCUUUAUUAAGUUACUAUCAAGUUUUUAUGCAUACAAAUUUGGUUUGUUAUCGAUCAAAUCAAAUUUUUUGAACA